rnacentral:piRNA from 1 species
AAAACAGUGAAUUAGCUGAAAAGAAAUGGAG